AUUGUCCCAAAUCCCUUGCUAUAGUGAUCUGUGUGCCUUUGUACGGAGAUGUAAUAUAAAGGUUAUAGCAAUACGCUAUUCCAGGCUUCUUUUUAUUCCAGGGGUUUUUAAAUUAUUAAUGUGCAGCACAGCAACAACUGAAUCUACUGUUAGACACUACCUAGUGAGACCAUUUUAAAUAUCAAGUACUUACGAACACAACGAAGCAAACAAACAAGAGUAACUGAAGGGUUGAGGCUCCACUUAAUUUUUAAACAGUUAAAAACAAAUUAGGCAACACUUCAAACGACAAGAAUACAAAGGCCAUUUGCCUUGUACUGGGCGAUACGCACAGUAACAGAAGACCAUCUGGUUGAUCUGGAUUUCAGUGUGGGGUUGACUAAUCAGUUUAAUGAACAGUGCUGUCAGAAUGAUGAUUCUGUAGAUUCAGCUGUUCUACAGCUAUUGAAUGUAUUUUUUUAGUUAACCACCAUGGGAAUUAGGCACUUUUUCUUCCCCCUCUUCCUUUCUAGAUAUGCAUCUGCUGUCAGCAAAUUUCACUGUGGUAUGUCCUCGUAGACCUGAACUGGGGCUCCCUCUUUGCCAGCUUCCCUCUAUCUAUCUUCCCUUCUGUGUGGGUGGAUGUUGCCAAAGUGAAUGGAGAGCAAUCCCAUCUCUCAAGGCAAACAAAAUAGAAAACACUCCCCCUAGCAGCUUUUUUGAUUCCUGACUCCAAAAUCCUGCCUAUCUUCUCAAUAUUCAUGGUGCUCUAUAUAUUUUCAGGGUAUCUCAUAGGCUGGUGGGAGACUAAGUAGGCUCAGGACAGCAUGUUAUCCUCAUUAGGGACAGUGAGGCCUGAAGCAACUAAAUGACUUGCUCAAGAUCACACAGAAAAUACGUGGUGGAGAGUUUCCCUCUGAGUUUGCUGGAUUUAUUGUUCUCUAAAAAGGGGUGUUGUUCUGCAGGAGAAGUCACAAAAUUUGCAAGUCUUUUCCCAUAUUUGCUCACGCUGCCUGCUUUUUGCAGGGGAUGUGAUGUUGCCAGUUCAUGCAAGACAUUGGCAUAGAAAGAUAAUUAUGCUGCCUGCCUGRGUUGGGACAGUCAACAGCAGAUGUAUGCUAUGAGCAGAAUAUUUCUGACACUUGGACCUGUCCAGUCUGAGACUUGAUUGGAUAAGACUGAUCCCCCCAGUGCACUCUACAAGAGUAGKGAAAAUCAGGUGCCUUUCCUGUCUGUGAAAGCUAGUCCUUGCCCAGCUGUUGGGUGGAACGAGGCCUCUGACUGGAGUCAGACUGAUCGCCUUGAGCAUAUUGUCCUUAAUAGAAACAACCUCUGGCCUUCCAGUCUCCAGAAGAAACUGGUCAGUACAUGGGUGGCAGAUGAAACUUCUUACUUGGUUAGAAAUG
rnacentral:lncRNA from 1 species